rnacentral:lncRNA from 1 species
UCCGAGGUCCGCGACCUUCCACUUUUGCAAGCGGAAUUUCGACUAGGAUAGUUGGUUUCUAGCUACGCCCGACGUAGUCACCUUCCACUUGAAAGAAAAUAAGAAAUUACUUUGCAAACCAUGUUCACCAAAGUCUCCAAUUAAACGAGCUAAAAACUUAUUUUUAUCAUUAUUAUUCAUGACAGCGAUGUUCAUUUUGUUCAACCGCUAGCUUUAUACAGAAAAUCGCCGACAAAUAUUGUAUAAAUUCGAGUAAAAUCGUAUCUGAUUGACAAAAACAACAUUGUAAACACAUAACAAUGGCGGCCGUGAAGACAAAAUUUUACAAUAUCGGAUCCGAUUCCGGAAGCGGAUAAGGAUAAUUCCGGGUUUGGCGAUCAAUUACAAAA